rnacentral:lncRNA from 1 species
GCCUACUGACUGGUCACCACGCCGUGGUAAAGGUUACCACCUCGUGUUUUCGCAAAAUACUAACAGAAUAGAAAAACCAAGAAAAACAAAAAUAUACUAUACUGUCACACCCCCAAACCAGAAUGGCGGAAACAUUCGGGGGUGGAUGACUUCACGUAGUAUCACAACCGUUGAAUAUUGUAAAGAAAGUAACACAACCAUCACAUAUAUAAUGAAAACGUAUGUUGUUGCGUUAUACAUAAUAGCAAAAGAAUAUUACAAUGAGAUGAUAAAUGUUCCAUAAUAAAACAUCCUUAGUGUUCCUUUCUCCAAAAGCUGGUGGUUACCUGUAUUACUGAUUCCCUGAGAAAUACAAGUGGUUUCGAAAAAGUGUCAACAAUUAAGUUGGUGAGUUCAUAAGCGUUUUGUAUUGAAAAAGUAUGUCCUUUUUGAUAGUAAACCGAUGAACGAGGUUUUCAGAAAAUCCAAUAUUUUCUAUAAAUGAUUUGAAAAGUUUCCCGUGUUGGAGUGCGUUUGUGUUUUCCAUACUUGAAUAAUAGUGAUAAAAUUUGUAUUAACGAUAAAAUGGAAAACUGAAAUGCAUAUAUGAAUCUCGUAAAUCUAACUUGUUUUUAUACUUUUAUGUGAGUUUUAUAACCAUGCUAAUGACAUUGUUGGCCUGUAACAACGUUCUUCAGGCGUUGGAACUGUUAUGACAUUUGUCACCCCAGGCCUGCCGGCCUAGCUGUAGCUAACAGCUUAGGUGUGGGAUUGUCAAUCCCGUAUAGAUCUAUACACAAGUAUCACGCUCCCCCUACAAGGGAUUAUGGUAUAUAAUACAGGACUUAAUAAUGCAUACUCGAACGUACGUGAAGCUGUCUCACAUUACUAGGUAUAAACAGAUUUACGAUGAUAAAAGACUGUACUUCUUUUGAAAGCAUUUCAUUUGUCGAGAUGUAUAUGUAAAAUGUAUGAAUCACUUGAAUACUAUGCUCAUUAUAGUUUGUCAAAAGUAUGUUCCCAUUUGGUAAUAACAACUUGGUGAUAUAAUAUCCCUUUAAAACAUAAAGUUAUUUUUGUAUCAACACUCUAUAAGAACGAUAUUAUAAAAAUAAUACUUUGAUUUGUAAUGUACUUGUAUUCCCCCCCUAAAACGUGAAAAGAAUUGAAAAGUAGGGGUAUGAACUCACUCGUUUCGAAGAGAGAGGCUAGGGUUGAGCAGAACUUCGUCCGCGGAUGGUUGCGUCGUCGGGCUCUUCGGGGAUCUCUGCAGCGUAAAUCUUCCGUCGGGGGCUCGAGUGCGGAAACCGAGGUGAGAAAAAUGGUCUCUGGAACUUGGAAGGGUGUGAGAGUGACUGAAGAAUUGAGAAAGGUGUGCAAAGACUCGAGCUCAUGCCUUCUAUUUAUAGGGCUGGAAAACCCCGUACGCGGCGCGUAAUCUUGGAGUACGCGGGGCGUAAAAUGGCGUCAUGGCUUACGACUCGGGUCUAGCUAAGCGUAGCUUGGGCGGGCCGAUGGGACUCGACUCUGGGUCUAGUACGCGGGGCGUACUCCCAGAGUACGCGGGGCGUAAUCCCUGCUUCCGACUUCUAAAUUCCGUAACUUUCGCGUACGAGCUCCGUUUUUCGCGUUCUUUAUAUCCACGCGUAGGUGAGAUUAUGCUCUACAACUUUCAUUUAGACUCCGUCGGCUAGUUUUGACUUUAUUUUUAAUGAUAUAUUUUUAAUAGGCCGGGCCUCCUAAAGUUCGUUAAAAAUUCAUAGGUUCUUUAUUCGACGUCGGUUUUCGUUUGUCUUUUUAUUGUUUUAUUACUACUGAGGAGAUCUUCAACUUUCGUUUAGGUUGCGUUAGCUAAAUAACACUCGAUCUUCAAUCCGAGUUUUUAGCCCUCUACUACUGUUACGAAACUUUGAAAAUUCGUAACUUCUUCAUACGAGGUCCAAUUUGGGCGAUCUUUUUAUGCACGUUCACCUUUCAACGAGAUCUACGACUUUUGUUUAGAUACUUAAGGCUUAAAAUGCAUUUUAUUGAGAUUCUACUUUUUACGUCAAAUAAUGUUUUAACGUCGCGUCGUAAAUAUACGAGUGGUUAUAAUUUCUUCAAUAUAACCCGGUUUUGAGCGUUCUUUAUGUUUUUGGAAACCUUGGCAUGAUAUCUAAUAUUCGAUGCAUCCCAACUUAGAUACUUGAACACUUUAUUUUCGAGGUUAAUUUCGUUGUUUUUAGCUUUCGAGUGUUUACAAUGCUUUUUGGGAAAAAUAGGGUUGUCACAUCAUCCCCCUGUUAAGGGAAUUUCGUCCCGAAAUUUAAUCUAAGAUAGAGUUUACAGUUUUAGGAAAAAGAUGCGGGUACUUUUGUUUCAUCUGAUCUUCGCGUUCCCAGGUGUAUUCAGGUCCUCGCUUGGCGUUCCAGCGGACCUUUACAAUGGGUAUGCGGCUUUGUUUAGUCCUUUUGAUUUCCCGAUCCAUGAUCUCUACUGGUUCCUCCACAAAUUGGAGGUUUUCAUUUAUUGCAAUUUCGUCUAGAGGGACGACAAGGGUCUCGUCGGAUAAGCACUUCUUCAGAUUCGAUACGUGAAAGGUAGGGUGUACGUUGUGGAGUUCCUGAGGUAGUCUAAGUUUGUAAGCCACUGGACCGAUCCUGGCAAGGAUCUCGAAUGGUCCGAUGUAUCUAGGGUUCAGUUUUCCACGUUUUCCGAAGCGUAUUAAACCUUUCCAAGGUGAGACUUUGAGUAGGACAUGGUCUCCAACUUGGAAUUCCAAGGGUUUGCGUCUCUUAUCUGCGUAACUCUUUUGUCUAUCCCUUGAUGCUUUUAGACGUUCUCGGAUUUGAACAAUCUUCUCCGUAGUCUCCCUUAUGAUUUCUGGUCCAGUGAGCGUGUUGUCAGUUGCUUGUCCUUUUGCUAGUUGCGUGUCCCCCACUUCGGCCCAGCACAAAGGUGACCUGCAUUUGCGGCCAUAGAGGGCUUCGAACGGGGCAGCCUUGAUACUGGUGUGGUAGCUAUUGUUGUACGAGAACUCGACCAAUGGUAGAUGUGUGUCCCAUGCUUUGCCAAAAUCGAUUACGCAAGCUCUCAGCAUGUCUUCUAGGGUUUGUAUAGUUCUCUCGCUCUGGCCGUCGGUUUGUGGGUGAUAAGCGGUACUCAUGUCUAGUCUUGUCCCCAAAGCUUUUUGUAGCGACUGCCAGAACCUUGAGGUGAAUCUACUAUCUCGGUCCGAGAUAAUGGAUAUGGGCACACCAUGCAGUCGUACAAUUUCUCUGAGGUAUGUCCUUGUUAACUUCUCCAAUUUAUCCGUCUCUUUGAUCGGUAGGAAAUGCGCUGACUUAGUUAACCUGUCGACAAUUACCCAAAUGGUGUCGAGUCCGCUUGUUGUCUUGGGUAAUUUUGUUAUGAAAUCCAUGGUUAUCCGCUCCCACUUCCAUUCGGGUAUUUCUGGUUGUUGUAAUAAACCCGAGGGCUUCUGAUAUUCCACCUUGACUUUGGCACAUGUCAGGCAUUUGCUCACGUAGGUAGCAAUUUCGGCUUUCAUGUUUUGCCACCAGUACAACUUCUUGAGAUCGAGAUACAUCUUAUCGGAGCCGGGAUGUAUGGAGUAUCGUGUUUUAUGGGCUUCGUCCAUAACGAUUUCUCUGAAUCCACCAAACUUCGGUAUCCAAAUUCGAUCCAUGAAAUAACGAAUUCCGUUGUUCUUGGUCUCAAGGUUCUUAUCCAUUCCCCUUAGGGCUUCUCCUGUCACAUUUUCGGAUUUCAAGGCUUCUAUUUGGGCUUCCUUGAUUUGCGUGAACAGGUGUGAAUGGAUCGUCAUAGUUAGGGAUUUUACUCGGCGACCUGAGUACUCCUUCCGACUGAGUGCAUCAGCCACUACAUUAGCUUUUCCAGGGUGAUAUCGAAUUUCGCACUCGUAAUCACUUAGUAGUUCUACCCAUCGUCUCUGUCUCAUGUUGAGUUCCUUCUGAUUGAGGAUAUGUUGGAGGCUUUUAUGAUCAGUGAAGAUGGUACAUUUUGUGCCGUAGAGAUAGUGUCUCCAUAUCUUCAGAGCGAAGACGACUGCUCCUAGCUCAAGAUCAUGCGUUGUGUAGUUCACUUCGUGCGUCUUUAGUUGUCUUGAGGCGUAGGCGAUGACCUUCCCUCUUUGCAUCAAGACACAUCCAAGAACUUGGUUUGAUGCAUCACAAUAGACCACGAAGUCCUCCGUUCCUUNNNNNNNNNNNNNNNNNNNNNNNNNNNNNNNNNNNNNNNNNNNNNNNNNNNNNNNNNNNNNNNNNNNNNNNNNNNNNNNNNNNNNNNNNNNNNNNNNNNNCCAUAACACGCCCGGCUUACUCCAGUGCCAGAAACUUGAGUGAUUAGUCGUGCCGGUGCUUUACAGAAAUAGGCUGUGUGCCCUUUCCUGUUGCAGUUUUUGCAGUGCAUCUCGCGACAAAUACCAUGGUGAUGGUAGUUGCACUUGCUGCACUUGGGCAGAAUUCCCGCAUAUGGUUUUGUUGGCGCAGAGGUAGCAGGAGUUGUGGUGGGGGUAGUAGCAGCAUGAACCGCAACCAUUUGCUUCUUUGAAGGUUCUUGCGAAGUUUGUCCCUUCCUUUUGUUCCAAAGUUUCUUCUUGUUGUUGUUGUUGGCAUUGAUUUCAUUGUUGUUGUUCCCUUUGGUUGGUUCAGCCAUGAUAGCCGCGACUCCUUGACAGACACCAUGAUCAACAAGUGAUUGCGCUAGUUCCUUGGCGCUGGCGAAAGUCAAGGGUCUGGAAGCUAGCACACUUCCACGAAGUUGGGGUGAUAGUCCCCAGAUGUAUCUCUCGACCUUUUGGCUCUCCAGGGUUAACAUGCCUGGGCAAAGCGUUAUUAAGUCACUGAACCUGUUGGUGUAACCAGCUAUGUCCGAACCUACCAUCGAGAGGUUCCACAAUUCCUGUUCAAGCUUCUGAAUCUCGCCUCUUGGGCAGUAUUCUCGAAGGAGCAUUCUUUUCAGGUUUUCCCAACCCAUGGAGUUUGCCACCACCAGGGUUAGUGUCUGGACGUGGCCGUUCCACCAUGUCAGGGCGCGUUCAGAGAAAGUAAAAGCGGCGAACUUUACUUUGCUUUCUUCAGGACAUGCACAGAUUUCGAAUACAGCUUCUGUUUUCUCUAUCCAUUGAGAUAGAGCCAAUACUCCCCCAGUCCCGUAAAAGGGAAUAGGUUUUCCGUUGGUGAAGUCUUUGUAAGUGCAUACCCCUGAACGGCUUUGACCUUGGCCAUUUGUAAAACUGUUUGUUCCUCCCCCCGAUCCGUUGUUGCUCAUUUGUGCCAUUGCUGCAGUUACAGCAGCGGUUACAGCAGUCUGGAACAUAACGGUGUCCAUAAUUGGAGGAGGUGGUGGAGGUGGUGUUGAAGUUGAGUUUCUGCGUGUUGAUCUACGAGGAGGCAUGUUCUGGUAGAGAAAAAUAAGAAUGAAUACUAUAAGUUUCUAAUGUUUUGACAAUCGUGUGUUAGUUGUAAUUUGUUUUGACUUUAGUUUAUGGUUUCAAGGUAGGCAUAGAAAUUUAAAACUCGUAAUUUUUGAGAGGUAUAUAAUAAGAAAUACUUCAUAUUUAUACAUAUAGGUCACACCUGAGGUGUGUUACAUUGCAUAUCUUGUUCGGGAAAAUUUGAUCCUCCUAGAGAUCUCCGAUUACGGAUACAACAGGGAAAACAAGGGAAAUAAAGGAAAAACUUUUAUCCGAAAUCCUAAUCUAUAACAAAAUUGUUGGGGCUUGAACAAGUUCUACUUGCGGCGUUUGGAGCUAGAUUCGGCAUCCGACCGUUUGACUCCCAUCAGUCGCCUCUCAAGAUCUGCUUGUUGUUCCUUCAUCUCUCUUAUAUCUGCCAGAGCCGUUAUCAUUUGGUUCUGAAGUGUCCCCGUGUAGAUUUGGGUAUUCUCAUGUAGUCCUUCCAAACGGCGGAUGUCAGCGGCGUUACCUUGGGUAGCAGCAUUGACCUCGCGAACUCUGGUUGCUUGCCUGUCCGUCUCGUAGUUCUGGGUAGCUAUAGCGUUCACAAUAACAGGAAGUGCUCGAUCAGCUGAGCUUCCCCCACUGACAUUGUAAAAAUCUCGGCACAUGCCGAAAGGAGGGCGUACACCUUGUUGGCGGCUCCAGUAGUAGAGGUGACUUCCCCACAUGGGAAUGGGUCCCGGUUGAUAUGGUCUGAUUUCGGGAGGAUGAGGGAUGGGAGGGUCGUACACUUCUGGCUCGGAGUCUGUCCCGCUAGAAAUCUCCUCGAUCUCUUCGUCGACUUCGAAUUCCUCUCCGACUUCGACUUCGAAUUCUCCCUCGAUAACCCCUUCGGGUUCUUCCUCGACCUCUUCUUCGAUUUCCUCUGGGUCUUCCUCCGGGUCUUCUUCUAUCCAACCGCCGUUGCCUUGGUUUGGGUAGUAGGGAUCUCCUGGUAAAUGGAAUCCGGCCAUUUGUCUGUACUAGGAUGGAUGUAUGAGAACUUUAUAAGAAAAGAAAAUUCUAUUUAACGACUUACUAUUUUUAACUAUAAUUUGUACAACUAUUUUUAAUAAUACUCCUAUAAUAUUUCAACUUGGCGAAACUAAAAUAAUUUGUAUUUGGUAAGUUCUUGGCUUGUUGUCCACUAUGACCAUUCCUCGACGUACGUUGGUCAAAUCCAGGAUAAAUAUAGUUGAUCAGGCUAUAUUUAUUCUCGACCUGAUUACAUACCCCGAGGCUCAAUCGUAGUGUCGUAACUUGCCUUAAUACUUUUUAGUAAAACUUGUUAUGAUACGAGAUUAAUGCAUGCUUUUAAAAAUGUAUAUCUUUAAAAGAAAGUAUUUUGUUCAUGAAAAUGUUUCAUCAAAGGGUCUUUGGUCCCCUUUGUAUUUAUAACUUGUAUAUCGUAUGUGGUUCGAUAUACUUAGUUCACUAUAAACAAUGCUCUGAUACCAAUCUGUCACACCCCCAAACCAGAAUGGCGGAAACAUUCGGGGGUGGAUGACUUCACGUAGUAUCACAACCAUUGAAUAUUGUAAAGAAAGUAACACAACCAUCACAUAUAUAAUGAAAACGUAUGUUGUUGCGUUAUACAUAAUAGCAAAAGAAUAUUACAAUGAGAUGAUAAAUGUUCCAUAAUAAAACAUCCUUAGUGUUCCUUUCUCCAAAAGCUGGUGGUUACCUGUAUUACUGAUUCCCUGAGAAAUACAAGUGGUUUCGAAAAAGUGUCAACAAUUAAGUUGUUGAGUUCAUAAGCGUUUUGUAUUGAAAAAGUAUGUCCUCUUUGAUAGUAAACCGAUGAACGAGGUUUUCAGAAAAUCCAAUAUUUUCUAUAAAUGAUUUGAAAAGUUUCCCGUGUUGGAGUGCGUUUGUGUUUUCCAUACUUGAAUAAUAUUGAUAAAAUUUGUAUUAACGAUAAAAUGGAAAGCUGAAAUGCAUAUAU